UGGUUCCAGUCAAUUUCUGCAGAAUCCGUAUCAGAAUCCCCUCCACCUGAAACCUGGAUCCCAAGAUCUCAUCCGUGGAUUUUGGAUUAGAAUCAGAUUGGAGCUGGCCCAUUUGUUCCUGUUUUUCUCGCCGUGAAGGUUUAAAAAUAUCCUAUCUACUCCACUCAACGGAUCCCGAAACCGCACACGGCGUCGGAGGGACCCCUCUCCUCGAUUAAAAUAUUCAUCUCCUUUUUCUAUAUUAGAGACGAGACACCGCUGGAACGAAUCUAGGUUUCUAACCCUAAAUGUGAAAAAUGUUAACCCUAAUCGGGUGGAAGAGGAGAAGAGCCGAACCUGCGGAAGGCGAAGGGAGAACUGGAGAAGUCGAGACAUCCUCAUGGGCUCACGAGGUCAUCACCUACAAAUCGAAAUAGUUUGGGUUCUCUCACCUCUCUCACGGUUCUCUACUUCUUGUUACCCCAAGAUUUCCUUUUUCUCGCUUUUGUCUACUACCAAUUAAUUAUCCUUACUUUUUUUUUUUUCCAAGGUAAUCUGUAGCUGUUGCAGUGCGGAAACAGGCCUGAUCCACCUCUCAUUCUGGUUUGUAAGUAAAUAAUCUGUUACUGAAUAAUUCAAAACAUCGUAGGCGGAGACCGGCGGAGAGCCCUUGGGCUCUCGACACAUGGCUCACCGCGAUCUAACGUUUACGAGAGUUUUCACUCAUUGGAUCUCCAUUUUCUGGAUUUCGGGUCUAAAUCCAAGUCUCCCUCCACUUUCCAACCCCCUCAUGAAACCCUAAUUGCUUAUGAUUUCUUCCUCCUCCCUCUUCUUUCUUUCUGCUCUGUUCUAUUUUCGAUCCUCUCUCUUCUUCUCUUUUCCUCAUUUAUCCCUCUCAGUUCGUCUGCCAUCAGCGGUUGCAAAUCGCCUCUGAAACUUGGUGAGUGAAACCCUGAUUGGUUCUUUCUUCCUGCUCUGAAACACGGCUGCAAAUCGGCUCUGAAACGUGGUGAGUGAAACCCUUAUUGCUUCUUUCUUCCUUCUCAAGAUCUCUCAGCCUCUUUCGAUAAAGUCAUACAUGGGAUGUGCUUGGAUAUUUCAUCUCCUCCCCCACCACCAACUGCAGAGGAGGCAAAUGACCAUACUGGUGGAAUGCGUGGAACUGAUAUAUUUGGGUUCUCAACAUCUCUUGAUUAGGUGAGCUCUUUAUCCCACAAUUGCAGUUUCUUGAUGAUUAUGGGGCCCAAGAAAAUAAUUUCCCCAACAGAAGGCCUUUCUCUUGGCGACGGAAAAUCCUUUUUGGAUGUGGUUUUUUUCUCCGGCAGUGGCACCAUUCCCUCUGAAAGAAAGUCGAUCCAAGAGCACCGUCGUACUGCAGAGCUGACCUAGAAUAAAUUUCAUAUUCAUUUUGAUCCAGAACGGUUAGUUAUUGCUGCUGUAGGGAUACCGUUGUGGACAAUAACAACCAGUCCACAAGGCUCUUGGCAAUUAUAUCAUAUGUGGGUAGAGAAUUAGGUGGCGUCCUUUGACUGUUUGGUUCGAUAAUGACUAUAUGGUUGUGGAAUUAUCUUCUUCCUUCGUCCCACAAUCGAUACAGAAUACAGAGCAGAUGCAGAGAUCAACUUCUUGACCCUGCGGCCUUCAGGUCAGUCUUGAGUAUCUAUGCGGCUGGUGUUUGAUCACUGAGGAUUCCUUUGGUUCUCUUUCUUAUUACUGGUCCCAGAGUUGAAACCGAUCAUUUCCAAAUUCGCUUGCUCUGUGUUUGGCAGGCUUAAGGCUCUAGAUAGAUUGAUGUUGUCUUGUCUCUUCAAUGAGUAUUGUAAUGACGAUGAUGCUCUUGUUGCACUUGCUGCGAUUAAUAUUCUUCUCUUUUUA